rnacentral:miRNA from 1 species
AAACCCAGACGAACUUUUUGGC